rnacentral:rRNA from 1 species
AGGGCGCAGGGUGGAUGCCUUGGCACUAAGAGCCGAUGAAAGACGUGAUAAGCUGCGAAAAGCUUCGGGGAGGAGCACAUAUCCAAUGAUCCGGAGAUAUCUGAAUGGGGAAACCCGGCAGAGGAAACCUCUGUCAGCGUGCAGUGAAUACAUAGCUGUACGUGGGGAACCCGGGGAACUGAAACAUCUAAGUACCCGGAGGAAGAGAAAGAAAAUUUAUCGAUUUCCAAAGUAGCGGCGAGCGAAAUGGAAAGAGGCCAAACCGGAGUGCGUGCACUCCGGGGUUCGGACCGCAUUUAAGAUUCAGUGAUUCUAGCAGAAAGGUUUGGGAAAGCCUGCCGGAGAGGGUGAAAGCCCCGUAAGCGAAAGGAGAACUGACUGAGCGGAAUCCAGAGUACAUCGAGACACGAGAAACCUUGAUGGAAUGAGCGGGGACCACCCCGUAAGCCUAAAUACUCCUUAGUGACCGAUAGCGCAUAGUACUGUGAAGGAAAGGUGAAAAGGACCCCGGGAGGGGAGUGAAAGAGAACCUGAAACCCUGUGUCUACAAGCUGUGGAAGUACUUUAUAUGUACGACCGCGUACUUUUUGUAGAACGGUCCGGCGAGUUACGCUUACUGGCAAGGUUAAGCACUUCAGGUGUGGAGCCGUAGGGAAACCAAGUCUUAAUAGGGCCAGAGUCAGUAGGAGUAGACCCGAAACCGGGUGAUCUAUCCAUGUCCAGGUUGAAGCUGCCGUAAGAGGUAGUGGAGGACCGAACCCACAUCCGUUGAAAAGGGUGGGGAUGAGGUGUGGAUAGGGGAGAAAUUCCAAUCGAACCCGGAGAUAGCUGGUUCUCCUCGAAAUAGCUUUAGGGCUAGCCUCAUGAGAGUCUUAUGGAGGUAGAGCACUGAAUUGCCUAGGGGGCGUCAAAGCUUACCAAAGCAUAUCAAACUCCGAAUGCCAUCAAGAUGAUUCAUGGGAGUCAGACCAUACGAGAUAAGUUGGAUGGUCAAAAGGGAAAGAGCCCAGACCUACAGCUAAGGUCCCAAAGUGCGUGUUAAGUGGAAAAGGAUGUGGGGAUUCUAAGACAACUAGGACGUUGGCUUAGAAGCAGCCAUUCAUUGAAAGAGUGCGUAAUAGCUCACUAGUCGAGAGUCCCUGCGCCGAAAAUGUCCGGGGCUGAAACACGACACCGAAGCUUAGGAAUGUGUAAACAUUGGUAGAGGAGCAUUGCUGGCGGGAUGAAGCCAUACCGUAAGGAGUGGUGGACUGCCAGGAAGAGAGAAUGCCGGAAUGAGUAGCGAGAUGAAGGUGAGAAUCCUUCAGGCCGAAUAUCUAAGGUUUCCAGAGUAAAGCUGAUCUGCUCUGGGUAAGUCGGGGCCUAAGGCGAGGUCGAAAGACGUAGUCGAUGGAUAACAGGUUGAAAUUCCUGUACCGCAUAUAAACAGAACUGUGGGGACACAGACAGGGAAUGGAAUCCGGGAAUGGAUAUCCCGGUGCAAGCGAGGUAGGAGUGCUGUUGGCAAAUCCGCAGCACGAUCUGAAGACGUGACGCGUACCGAACAUAAGUAGGGAAGUCCAGGCCCCUGGCUGUCAAGAAAAGCCGCUAUUGUUUUAUAUGUGCCCGUACCGCAAACCGACACAGGUGGAUGAGGAGAGAAUCCUAAGGCCGACGGGAGAAGUAUUGUUAAGGAACUCGGCAAAAUGACUCCGUAACUUCGGGAGAAGGAGUGCCAUGUAAAAGUGGCCGCAGAGAAUUGGCCCAAGCAACUGUUUAGCAAAAACACAGGUCUAUGCAAAACCGAAAGGUGAGGUAUAUGGGCUGACGCCUGCCCGGUGCUGGAAGGUUAAGGGGAGAGGUUAGCGCAAGCGAAGCUUUGAACUUAAGCCCCAGUAAACGGCGGCCGUAACUAUAACGGUCCUAAGGUAGCGAAAUUCCUUGUCGGGUAAGUUCCGACCCGCACGAAAGGCGUAAUGAUUUGAGCGCUGUCUCAACAAUGCACCCGGUGAAAUUGAAAUACCAGUGAAGAUGCUGGUUACCUGCGCCAGGACGGAAAGACCCCAUGGAGCUUUACUCCAGUUUGAUACUGGGAUUCGGCAUGGUAUGUACAGGAUAGGUGGGAGACUGAGAAGGUAUGACGUCAGUUGUACCGGAGUCGCUGUUGGGAUACCACCCUUACCAUGUUGGAUUUCUAACCUGUGGCCGUAAGCCGGUCAGGGGACAAUGUCAGGCGGGGAGUUUGACUGGGGCGGUCGCCUCCGAAAGGGUAUCGGAGGCGCUCAAAGGU